rnacentral:rRNA from 1 species
UACGUAGGUGGCAAGCGUUGUCCGGAUUUACUGGGCGUAAAGAGCGCGCAGGCGGUCGUUCAAGUCGCGUGUGAAAGCCCCCGGCUCAACUGGGGAGGGUCACGCGAUACUGAUCGACUCGAAGGCAGGAGAGGGUAGUGGAAUUCCCGGUGUAGUGGUGAAAUGCGUAGAUAUCCGGAGGAACACCAGUGGCGAAAGCGGCCACCUGGACUGCACCUGACGCUGACACGCGAAAGCUAGGGGAGCGAACGGG